GAUGAACGCUGGCGGCGUGCUUAACACAUGCAAGUCGAACAAAGCACUUAAGAUUGAUUCUUCGGAUGACGUCUUUUGUGACUUAGUGGCGGACGGGUGAGUAACGCGUGGGUAACCUGCCUCACACAGGGGGAUAACAGUUAGAAAUGACUGCUAAUACCGCAUAACCCGAUAGGAUCGCAUGAUCCAGACGGAAAAGAUUUAUCGGUGUGAGAUGGACCCGCGUCUGAUUAGCUAGUUGGUGAGGUAACGGCCCACCAAGGCGACGAUCAGUAGCCGGCCUGAGAGGGUGAACGGCCACAUUGGGACUGAGACACGGCCCAAACUCCUACGGGAGGCAGCAGUGGGGAAUAUUGCACAAUGGGGGAAACCCUGAUGCAGCGACGCCGCGUGAGUGAAGAAGUAUUUCGGUAUGUAAAGCUCUAUCAGCAGGGAAGAAAAUGACGGUACCUGACUAAGAAGCCCCGGCUAACUACGUG
rnacentral:rRNA from 1 species